ensembl:lncRNA
AGAAAUUUCGUUUUAGUGGUGGAGUUUAUAGAGUAACCACAGAAGCAAUGUGAAUAGUUUUGGUACGGAGACUUCAUGGUUUUAUUGAACUAUAAAAACUCUAAAUCAUUCUUUAAAAACUGAAAACACAGCCCACAUGUUCAGGCUGCACGUUUAGUUUUUCCAAGUGAUAUGACCUCACACUAUCUUCAGUCAUCCUAUUCUUAUCUUUGCAAGAGUGGAUGUAAACACAUCACUGUAGAAAGAGUCCAUUAUUUAUGAAUGGUUUUGAACCGUUUUGAGAGAGAACCAAACCAAACUCUUUUUCGUGGCUUUCAAGUCGCCCAUGUAUUCCUGUAGAGACGUAUUUGUGGUUUUUAUUUUUAGACACAAAUUCGGUUCUACAGGGUACAUAUAGACAACUACUGAGAUACGUCUUCUGUUAUGGCUGCAAAAGGUCACAUAAAGAAAUACUGAAAUACAGGCUUGAUCAGGCGAACAUUCAGCAUUAGACACAGCCCCCCCCCAGCACCACCACCAACCCACCCCCCACCCUGCCCUUUUCAUUAAGCGUCAUCUUUCUCCAAAGAAAAGAAACGUUGUUACUAAGGUUUUUAUGAAAAAAUUGUAUUCAGGAGCAAAGUAAUAUUUCAUUUGCCACAAACGCUCAAUUUUGCCUUUGUUAAAACGACGAAAUUGAUUUAGCCUAUUUUAGUCUCAUUUUAAAUGCGGCAUGUUUUCCACGACAUGCAUAUGCAAACAUAUUGAUAUUGGCAAAUUAUCACAAUCACCAAAGUGUCCUGGAAAUUGCACAUUCGAAAUCAAAAUCAUGACUUUUGUAAAUCUGCAUAGUGUGCUUGUACUGUGUGAUUUGUAGUGUACAUUAACAUUCCUGGUUGGAGAUAUUCAUGCUAUUUCGAAUUACAGAUUGCAACUUGAAACUUUCACGCUUCAUUUGUACGAAUUACUAAACACACGAUUAUAAGCAAAGGUUUUUGAAGCAUAUCUCUUUGUAACGUUUUGAGGGGCGUAAUCUAAGUGGAUGGUCUGAGGGGGCGGGGCUGAACAAAAAGUUUUACUAGCUGAGGACUGUAAAAAUUCUGCACAUAAAUACUAUAAGCUAAACUAUAACCCGGGACAUAUGAAUUUAAUACAUGAAUUGUGUUACGGAAAUGUCACUACAGAAGCGGGGACUGCCCACAAAUUUUGUUUUACAGCCUAAUUUACAGAUUUAAUUUAAUGUGUAAUGAAAUUAUGAUUUCUGUGUUGCAUGUUUUAGACAAUAAAUUAACUCCAGGUAAAUCGUGAAGACAAAUGAUCUAAAUGGGGGGAAAUAAAGUCAUGCCUUGAAUGUCAACAUUGGUUAAAUUGUUUUUGAUACUCGCUCCCUUCUUCAGUGUUAUGCAGACAAAUACAGGCACACACAUACGUACAUGCAACAAAGAGCCAAAGCGACCUGGGGGUGGGGGGUGGGGGUGCUGGGGGUGGACGACUCUUUCCAGAGUCAUUUUCUAUCAAACUGCAAAUUCCUAGGUGCACCCCACAUGAAUAUUCAGGCAGAAACACGCCGUGCACAAAGCACGCGCAUGACAGCACUGGUGAAAAAUAAGUUUCUGUUGUUCCCCGGGGUUUUAUUGUGCGUGUUAUUACCAUAUGACCGCUCGGUAACCUGCACGUCCAUGCCUUGCAUUUUCCCCUCCAGUUUAUAAACAGGUUUAGAGGCAGAUAACAUAUCACCUUCUCUGUGUACACCUUCGUCUAUAGGUCAUGGCCUAGUUGAAGCUGCAUCAAAUAAUUCACGCCUAAUCACGUCAAAUAAAGUUCAACUUUGUUAAGGCCAAACCGAUUUCCAGACGUUAUAGGAACAUCAAAAUGCUCUACUAAGAAACAAAUACUAGCUUCAUCUGCUUCAUCUAGGUUUAGAUAGGCUAACCAUUUCAGUCUAGGGUAUGUGGGAUUUUUUUUUCCACAGUCCACCCCCUCCAGGCUGAAAACGCCCUCAUCCACCCACUUGAGCCAGUUCCUGUGCUGCGGACGCAUUUUAAUAUUAGUUAGACAGCCUGACCCGCGAUUCACCUCACGCGUUUGACUCGUUCCAAUAGUUCACUGCCAAGCUGUUAUUGAUGAGCGAACAGCGAUGAAUUCCUUCUGCACACAAAUGGCCUUAGAUCCCGCACAAGCUCAAUAACUAGUUAUUGAGAGACUUGAGGUUGCAAUGCCAGCAAGUUGAGAGAAUCGACUAAGACUGUCACAGAUUCCAGUUCCUUUUGGAGGAUCCUCAUACUUUUCCUAAGCCAAAUGUGAGAUAUAAUUUUUCCAGUAGGUCCUGGAUAGAGAUCCCUGGGGGGUCAUUCCUGAUACAACUCUAGUGGGAGUCAACUGGCUCCUCUGGGCUCUUGGACUCUACCACAUUCCUGAGCUAUUCACCAAAAUUAAGACUUAAUUGAUAUGUUGCCUUAUCAUAUAUUUAAAUCAUAUUUUGAAAAUAAAGUAAUCUAAGCGCAAAAUUCAUGCAUUCAUGUAUAUAUCACAUAGGCCUACAUGGAACAGCUUGGUUGAGUAAACAUCAGUGUAAUGCAUUAACCUGAAGCUGUUUUAAAAACUGUUUCUGCUUUCUUUUUCCUUGGGCAUUAACAUGGACAUUACAAACAUUACAAACAAAUAUGCCUAUAAUCUGACAAAGCCUAUAAAUUAUGCAAAUUCUGCACACUGAGGUUGACUAUUCUUGCAUGCUCUAAUAAAAAUACUAUUUAAACAGCAUAUAUAAUAUCUGUAUUGGAGCAUGUAAAACACUGUUCUUUAUCCAUCCCAAGGUUUAAAGUAUAGAUUUUCAGGACUGAAUAAACAAUGUGUCCAUAAAGAGACACAAAUCUAUUUUGAACAAACUCUUAUCAACUAUUUUAGUCAACAUCAACUGUGAAUCAUAAGUGAAUAGACUAAACUUUAUGUUAUCAAAACAUGUGAAACAUGGGCCCCAUCUCACCCUCAGGGCAACACCCACAAAGGCCACACUUGUAUGAAUUUAGAAACAAAUACAAUGAUUUCAAGAGCCAGAACAACAUCUGCUACUAUAAUAAUAAUAAUAAUAAUAAUAAUAAUAAUAAUAAUAAUAAUAAUAUAAUGCGGGCCACCAUGACCUUCAGGUAGUUGUGUUCCAUCGUUUUCACCUUCACUCUGACCUUCAUUUUCACUCCAAGGCUGAGAAGAACAGCUGAUGUUAAAACCUAAGAGCUAACAUGGGAUUCAUUUUUAAAAAUUAUUUUAUGACUUAUUUUAAUACACUUACACAGUAUUUAAUGAAGAAUACAAAUAUUGACUUCUUACAUUAACUGUAACCUUCACUAUCACAGCUGUAAGCAAUAGACAACCUGAUGCCUUAUUUGCCCUGAAUCCUAAAAGGCAAGUCUCUGGCAAGCUGUGAAAUUCCCUCUUCUGAAAGUGAGACAGUAUGUAUACAAUUAGGUUUAAUACAUGUCAUUAUACACUUGGUUUAAAGAAUGAAAUAAACAGACAAGCUAGUGACUGCACCACACACAUACACACAAUAACACACACACAUACACACAAUAACACACACAUUUCUGAAACAUUGCAUUAAUAUUUGAGGGAAGUAAACAUGUCUUCUUAUGAUAGUCAAAGGGCAGCUGGUUGUCCAACUAGACACUUACAGUUAAAUUAAAAAUAAACCAAACAGGUUUUUAAUAAAUUCUGACAAAAUUCUUUGACUGAACCAUACAUUUAACACAGCACUCAAGCCCUUGUCUUAUCUAUGAGAAAAAGCAUACCCAUCCAUUUCGCUGCCCUGAGAAACGCCUUCUGAAUGGCCAUGGUAUUUACAACUCAAUGGAAUUAACAGCUAUAGGCGUAGACAGAAUGGGCUCCCCUUUCUACAAUCUCUCUCUCUCU